rnacentral:rRNA from 1 species
UACGUAGGGGGCUAGCGUUAUCCGGAAUUACUGGGCGUAAAGGGUGCGUAGGUGGUUUCUUAAGUCAGAGGUGAAAGGCUACGGCUCAACCGUAGUAAGCCUUUGAAACUGGGAAACUUGAGUGCAGGAGAGGAGAGUGGAAUUCCUAGUGUAGCAGUGAAAUGCGUAGAUAUUAGGAGGAACACCAGUUGCGAAGGCGGCUCUCUGGACUGUAACUGACGCUGAUGCACGAAAGCUAGGGGAGCAAACAGG